rnacentral:rRNA from 1 species
GAUGAACGCUAGCUACAGGCUUAACACAUGCAAGUCGAGGGGCAGCAUGAACAAAGCUUGCUUUGUUUGAUGGCGAUCGGCGCACGGGUGCGUAACACGUAUCCAAUCUGCCCGCGGCUCGGGGAUAGCCCAUCGAAAGAUGGAUUAAUACCCGAUGGCGUGGUUUCUCCGCAUGGAGUUUCCACUAAAGGUUUUCCGGCCGCGGACGAGGAUGCGUAUGAUUAGGUAGUAGGCGGGGUAACGGCCCACCUAGCCUUCGAUCAUUAGGGGUUCUGAGAGGAAGGUCCCCCACACUGGAACUGAGACACGGUCCAGACUCCUACGGGAGGCAGCAGUGAGGAAUAUUGGUCAAUGGGCGAGAGCCUGAAACAGCCAAGUAGCGUGAAGGAAGACUGCCCUAUGGGUUGUAAACUUCUUUUGUUCGGGAAUAAAGUGCAGUACGCGUACUGUUUUGUAUGUACCGUUCGAAUAAGCAUCGGCUAAUUCCGUGCCAGCAGCCGCAGUAAGAC